CAGCCGCCACGGGAAUACGAAGGGUGCAAGCGUCAAUCGGAAUUACUGGGCGUAAAGCGUGCGUAGGCGGUUUGUUAAGUCUGCUGUGAAAUCCCCGGGCUCAACCUGGGAAUGGCAGUGGAUACUGGCAAGCUAGAGUGUGUCAGAGGAUGGUGGAAUUCCCGGUGUAGCGGUGAAAUGCGUAGAGAUCGGGAGGAACAUCAGUGGCGAAGGCGGCCAUCUGGGACAACACUGACGCUGAGGCACGAAAGCGUGGGGAGCAAACAGGAUUAGAUACCCCCGUAGUCCCUGUCUCUUAUAC
rnacentral:rRNA from 1 species